UACGUAGGGGGCAAGCGUUAUCCGGAUUUACUGGGUGUAAAGGGAGCGUAGACGGUUAAUCAAGUCAGAAGUGAAAUCCCACGGCCCAACCGUGGAACUGCCUUUGAAACUGUAGAGCUUGAGUGUCGGAGAGGGUGGCGGAAUUCCAGGUGUAGGAGUGAAAUCCGUAGAUAUCUGGAGGAACACCGGUGGCGAAGGCGGCCACCUGGACGACAACUGACGCUGAGGUGCGAAAGCGUGGGUAGCAAACAGG
rnacentral:rRNA from 1 species